rnacentral:lncRNA from 1 species
CGACAUUUUUUCCGUUGACUCCAGCUUGUGUCGAGUUGAUAGAAACCUUGCUGGCACAGUGACUGAGAGGCGACAGAGACGUCAGAAGAAACAAAUCCUUCUUCCAGGUGCUUCUUGGCAACGCUGGGAAACCACUGCUCCAGGGGGUCAUCCGGAAGCUUUCUGAGGGGCAGACUGGACUGCAGAAGAAAGUUCCCAGAUGGGGCCAGCACAGUCCCUGGGGUGACUUAGGGCAAGUGGGAUCUUGUGUGUCAGCAGAGAGGACUGAACAAAAUUACGUCCACCUGCUUCUUCAUUGGUGUGCUGGUGGGAGCCGUGGUGUAUGGAUACUUGUCUGACAGGUUUGGCAGGCGCCGGCUUCUGCUGGUGGCCUACGUGAGCUCCCUGGUGCUGGGUCUGAUGUCUGCAGCCUCCAUCAACUACAUCAUGUUCGUAGUCACCCGUACACUCACCGGCUCAGCCCUGGCUGGCUUCACCAUCAUUGUGCUCCCACUGGAGUUGGAGUGGCUGGAUGUGGAGCACCGCACUGUGGCCGGGGUCAUCAGCACCGUCUUCUGGUCGGGAGGCGUGCUGCUGCUGGCACUGGUGGGCUACCUGAUCCGGAGCUGGCGCUGGCUUCUGCUGGCUGCCACCCUGCCGUGUGUCCCAGGCAUCAUCAGCAUCUGGUGGGUUCCUGAGUCUGCACGGUGGCUUCUAACCCAGGGUCGUGUGGAGGAGGCAAAAAAAUACUUGCUGAGCUGUGCCAAGCUCA